GACGAACGCUGGCGGCGUGCUCAACACAUGCAAGUCGAACGGUAAGGCCCUUCGGGGUACACGAGUGGCGAACGGGUGAGUAACACGUGGGUGAUCUGCCCUGCACUUCGGGAUAAGCCUGGGAAACUGGGUCUAAUACCGGAUAGGACCACUGCCUGCAUGGGUGGUGGUGGAAAGCUUUUGCGGUGUGGGAUGGGCCCGCGGCCUAUCAGCUCGUUGGUGGGGUGAUGGCCUACCAAGGCGACGACGGGUAGCCGGCCUGAGAGGGGGACCGGCCACACUGGGACUGAGAUACGGCCCAGACUCCUACGGGAGGCAGCAGUGGGGAAUAUUGCACAAUGGGCGCAAGCCUGAUGCAGCGACGCCGCGUGAGGGAUGACGGCCUUCGGGUUGUAAACCUCUUUCAGCACCGACGAAGCGCAAGUGGCGGUAGGUGCAGAAGAAGGACCGGCCAACUACGUGCCAGCCGCCGCAGUAA
rnacentral:rRNA from 1 species